GUUUUAAUAGUUUAAUUAUAAAACAUUGGUCUUGUAAAUCAAAAAUAAGAACUUAAUCUUUUAAAACU
rnacentral:tRNA from 1 species